rnacentral:rRNA from 1 species
UUGUAAGUAGGGUGGUAAUGCUGGAUGCUCCAACUUGACGCAUGUCUUGUUGGGAAAGUGUUUAGUGGCAUGGGAUGGGGUCGCGUCCUAUCAGCUUGUAGGCGGGGUAAUGGCCCACCUAGGCUUCGACGGGUAGCCGGCCUGAGAGGGCGGACGGCCACAUUGGGACUGAGAUACGGCCCAGACUCCUACGGGAGGCAGCAGUU